rnacentral:lncRNA from 1 species
AAAUCAUUGUUUACUGACCCUGCAAUCACCACCCGACCUUUUCCCAUGCUUUGGCCUCACUCGCACGCUAUCGCGAAUCACUUCCCGAUAGGUCACCCAUCCUUCCACUACUCCAGCUCAAGCACGCUUAACUCUGGAGUUCUUUCAGGAUGUGUUCCGGAAAAGGUAAGUCAACUUUGGUGACAUAGGUAGCCAAAUCAAUUCUCUUAAGCCUUUUUCACAUAUCACAACUCGGGAUGUUACAAUUCACCCCCUCUCAAAGAACGCAACGUCCUCGUUGCGCCCCCGACAGGUCUCAAGACGCCUCUCAGGUCGGAACUGAGACGGCUAACCAGCUCUGAUACC